CCUACGGGUGGCAGCAGUGAGGAAUAUUGGUCAAUGGACGAGAGUCUGAACCAGCCAAGUAGCGUGAAGGAUGACUGCCCUAUGGGUUGUAAACUUCUUUUAUAUGGGAAUAAAAUGUUCCACGUGUGGGAUUUUGUAUGUACCAUAUGAAUAAGGAUCGGCUAACUCCGUGCCAGCAGCCGCGGUAAUACGGAGGAUGCGAGCGUUAUCCGGAUUUAUUGGGUUUAAAGGGUGCGCAGGCGGAAGAUCAAGUCAGCGGUAAAAUUGAGAGGCUCAACCUCUUCGAGCCGUUGAAACUGGUUUUCUUGAGUGAGUGAGAAGUAUGCGGAAUGCGUGGUGUAGCGGUGAAAUGCAUAGAUAUCACGAAGAACUCCGAUUGCGAAGGCAGCCUACUAAACUGCCACUGACAUUGAUGCUCGAAAGUGUGGGUAUCAAACAGGAUUAGAUACCCCUGUAGUC
rnacentral:rRNA from 1 species